CCUACGGGGGGCAGCAGUGGGGAAUAUUGCACAAUGGGGGAAACCCUGAUGCAGCGACGCCGCGUGAGUGAAGAAGUAAUUCGUUAUGUAAAGCUCUAUCAGCAGGGAAGAAAAUGACGGUACCUGAGUAAGAAGCCACGGCUAACUACGUGCCAGCAGCCGCGGUAAUACGUAGGGUGCAAGCGUUAUCCGGAUUUACUGGGUGUAAAGGGAGCGUAGACGGCAGUGCAAGUCUGGAGUGAAAUGUGAGGGCUUAACCCCCGGACUGCUCUGGAAACUGUACGGCUGGAGUGCAGGAGAGGUAAGUGGAAUUCCUAGUGUAGCGGUGAAAUGCGUAGAGAUUAGGAGGAACACCAGUUGCGAAGGCAGCUUACUAGACUGUAACUGACGUUGAGGCACGAAAGCGUGGGGAGCAAACAGGAUUAGAUACCCGUGUAGUC
rnacentral:rRNA from 1 species